GGGCCGAUAGCUCAGCGGUAGAGCACGUCAUUUGCAAUGACGGGGUCGCCGGUUCAAAUCCGGCUCGGUCCA
rnacentral:tRNA from 1 species